GAUCAAACCACAAAGGGCACAUGGCGAAUGACUUGGCGUCAAGAGGCGAUGAAAGACGUUGGAACCUGCGAAAAGCUACAGGGAGCUGGUAACCAAGCUGUGAUCUGUAGAUCUCUGAAUGGGGAAACCCACCCGCAAGGGUAUCGUACGCUGAAUGCAUAGGCGUGCGAGGCAAACCCGGGGAACUGAAACAUCUAAGUACCCGGAGGAAAGGAAAGCAACAUGCGACUCCGUAAGUAGCGGCGAGCGAAAGCGGAUAGGUGUGAACUUGUGAACACGAAGGAAUGCGUGACCAAAGACGGUGAAAGUCCGGUAGCAAGGUGUAGCACCAUAGCCCUCGAUUAGGCUCGGGCUCGUGGAACCCGGGUUGAACAUGGGAGGUCCACCUUCCAAGGCUAAGUACUCCUUGACGACCGAUAGCGAAGAAGUAAAGUGAUUGAAAGUUGAAAAGCACCCCUAUUAGGGGGAUGAAAGAGUUCCUGAAACCAUGUGCCUACAAGCGGUCGGAGCCCUCCGGGGUGACGGCGUGCUUUUUGCAUAAUGAGCCCGCGAGUUAGUCUCAGUGGCGAGCUUAAGGCCUACCGGGCCGGAGGCGGAGCGAAAGCGAGUCUGAAUAGGGCGUAUAGUCGCUGGGACUAGACACGAAACCCGUGUGAUCUACCCAUGGCCAGGGUGAAGGUGGGGUAAAACCUGCUGGAGGCCCGAACCCGUCAUCGUUGAAAAGAUGUGGGAUGAGCUGUGGGGAGGGGUCAAAGUCCAAUCAAACCGGGAGAUAGCUUGUUCUCACCGAAAUAACUUUAGGGUUAGCCUCAAGAAGCAACUAUUGGGGGUAGAGCUACUGGAUGCGUGGUGGGCCCGUCUAGGGUACCCCAUGCAACCAAACUCCGAAUACCAAUAGCCAAGUCUUGGGAGAUAGACCGCGAGUGAUAAUAUCCGCGGUCAAAAGGAGAAUAAUCCAGAUCGCCAGUUAAGGUCCCUAAAUUGUACUUAGUUUUUAAGGAAGUCAGAUUGCAGUGACAGCCAGGAUGUUGGCUUAGAAGCAGCCACCAUUUAAAGAGUGCGUAAUAGCUCACUGGUCGAGGAAUCUGGCGCCGAUAAUGAUCGGGGAUAAGUACAAUACCGAAACUGCGGACUUCGUAAGAAGUGGUAGGUGAGCGUUCCAUGUGCGGCGAAGGCUUUCGGAAACGAACGCUGGAGCGCAUGGAAGUGAAUAUGCGGGCUUGAGUAACGAUAAUGCAGGUGAGAAUCCUGCACGCCGUAAGUCUAAGGUUUCCUGGGGAAGGUAAAUCCGCCCAGGGUUAGCCGGGUCCUAAGGCGAGGCCGAAAGGCGUAGUCGAUGGAUAGCAGGUUAAUAUUCCUGCGCACAUACAAAGAUCAAAGCAUAGUGCGGAUCUGUGAGCUCUCUUGGACUAUUAGAUGUCCAGGCCCUCGGGCCGCUAGAGGGGGAUCGGGUUCCUAGAAAAGCUAUGUGGGCGAUGUAUGUCCCGUACUAAAACUGACACAGGUAGACGAGGCGAAUAGCCUCAGGCGCUCGAGAGAAUGGUCGUGAAGGAAUUAGGCAAAUUAACUCCGUAAGUUCGCGAUAAGGAGGCCCUUCGGGGCGCAGAGAAAAGGCCCUGGCAACUGUUUAUCAAAAACACAGCACUGUGCUAACUCGCAAGAGGAUGUAUACAGUGUGACGCUUGCCCAAUGCCCGAAUGUCACGGAAGCUGGUUAGCACUAUGCGAAGCUAGUAACCUAAGCACGGGUCAAUGGCGGCCGUAACUAUGACGGUCCUAAGGUAGCGAAGUUCCUUGUCGGGUAAGUUCCGACGCGCAUGAAUAGCGUAAUGACUGGGGCACUGUCUCCACGACCAACUCGGUGAAAUAGUAGUGGCGGUGAAGAUGCCGCCUACCCGCAGCAAGACGGAAAGACCCCGUGAACCUUUACUGCAGGCUUAUAUUGGUCAUGUGCACAUGAUGCGCAGGAUAGGUGGGAGGCUUUGAAGCCGGUGCUUAGGCAUUGGUGGAGCCGUUGGUGAGAUACCACCCUUCGUGAGUGUGUGGCCUAACUUCGAUUCCCGUGAAUCCGGGCGAAGGACAGUGUGUGCUGGGUAG
rnacentral:rRNA from 1 species